rnacentral:rRNA from 1 species
GACGAACGCUGGCGGCGUGCCUAAUACAUGCAAGUCGAACGCAUUUUCUUUCACCGUAGCUUGCUACACCGAAAGAAAAUGAGUGGCGAACGGGUGAGUAACACGUGGGUAACCUGCCCAUCAGCGGGGGAUAACACUUGGAAACAGGUGCUAAUACCGCAUAAUUCCAUUUACUGCAUGGUAGAUGGAUGAAAGGCGCUUUUGCGUCACUGAUGGAUGGACCCGCGGUGCAUUAGCUAGUUGGUGGGGUAACGGCCUACCAAGGCUGCGAUGCAUAGCCGACCUGAGAGGGUGAUCGGCCACACUGGGACUGAGACACGGCCCAGACUCCUACGUGAGGCAGCAGUAGGGAAUCUUCGGCAAUGGACGCAAGUCUGACCGAGCAACGCCGCGUGAGUGAAGAAGGUUUUCGGAUCGUAAAACUCUGUUGUUAGAAAAGAACAAGGAUGAGAGUGGAAAGUUCAUCCCUUGACGGUAUCUAACCAGAAAGCCACGGCUAACUACGUG